AACAUGAGGCAAGGCAGCCACAGUGAAAAGAAAGAAUCACAAGUGAGAAAGCUGUGGAUAGUACACAGGAUUUAGCUACCCAGGUGGUUCAAGCCGUAAACAAUUUCGAUUUGGAGGUUGUGCCCUUGAGGCGUGGCUUCUGGAGAUAACGCGUUAAAUCGACCGCCUGGGGAGUACGGCCGCAAGGUUAAAACUCAAAUGAAUUGACGGGGGCCCGCACAAGCGGUGGAGCAUGUGGUUUAAUUUGAUGCAACGUGAAGAACCUUACCUGGUCUUGACAUCCACAGAACUUUGCAGAGAUGGAUUGGUGCCUUCGGGAACUGUGAGACAGGUGUGCAUGGCUGUCGUCAGCUCGUGUUGUGAAAUGUUGGGUUAAGUCCCGCAACGAGCGCAACCCUUAUCCUUUGUUGCCAGCGGUUAGGCCGGGAACUCAAAGGAGACUGCCAGUGAUAAACUGGAGGAAGGUGGGGAUGACGUCAAGUCAUCAUGGCCCUUACGACCAGGGCUACACACGUGCU
rnacentral:rRNA from 1 species